CACUUCACAGACACAGAAAUGUGCUAAAAGGCAAGUUGUGUUUCUUUCUUGUAUCUAAGGAAAUGGUCCCACUGAGGCCCAAGACUUGACAGUGGAAGUCUUGCCAAUUUAAAGUCUAAUGAAGAUUGUGAAUUAUUGACUGGCACAAGUAGAGCUUCCUGCACUCAAUGAUGGACAACUGAAGGCCUGUGCUAGCACUCUGUUUGGUACUUAGGAGAGUGUGGCUCAAUUUUUCCACUUUCUUUAAGAUGUGAAACUUCAGUCAACCUCUUUGUGUCAGAUUCCCUCCAUCUUGAAAACAAUUUCUGCCGCCUCCUACCUUCUCUGCUACAGGAUGACUAAUGUCCGUGCAGAACUGCAGGACUUCUGAAAGAACCACAUGCUUUUGGGGCCAGAGGAAGCCAACCACCUGGCUGUGUGUUCCCCUUCUUUCAUCUCCUACUGCUAAGGGCCUUGGCCUCUGAAGGGCAGCAACAAGAGCACCAGCUAACUUUCUUGAAAAUUCACUCUGCCAGAAGCCCUGCUGAGAGCUCUACACACCUUCGUCUAUUUAAUCAUCCCAAAGACACUGUUGGGAGGUAUAGUUACCAGCCCCAUUUAGCAGGUUGGGAGACUCCGAGGUUGUCACCUGCCAAAGGCCACAGACCUAGAAAGUGUUAGAACUGGGACAAACCCACAUCGGAAUGAUUCCAAAGCCCUUACUCUUAGCAGUAAGACCUCGAUGUCUCCCUGGCAUUGUUAGGAGUCCUCAAAUCCAUUGUCUAUGGACUGAGUACAAAAUACAUACAUAUUCUAUAGAGAAUAAUAACAUAUAAAUUCAUCAUUAAUACAUUCCUUGGAGCUUAUUAUAUUCUCAGUUAAUUGUGUACAAAAAUUGCAUCAACUCAAAAAUGCUGGCAUUCUCUGUCCUUCAGUCGUUAUCCCUGUGUCCUCUGUGUACAGUACUGAUUAGCUUGUCUGGUGCCAUUACUCAUCUCCCAGUGUUUGUGUCACUUCUUCAACAAGGUAAACUCCUAGUAAGUGGGACUACAGAAAAUAGGGUUUCUUUUGAGUCCUGCCUGGUCCCACUCCAAGGUCUUACACUUGAUAGAUACAGAUUUAGCUAACUGGUUGAUUACAACAACCUCUGUAAUACUCCUCCUCAUAUUGGCCCACAGAAUGAUACAUCUCAAGUCUCCUGCCCUGUAUCCCGCUGGAGAUGCCCUAAUGUGGCCUGCAUGCUUCCAACAGCCCAGACUGUAAUGAAAAUAGCUACCAUGUAUUCAGCACGUUCUGUUCACUAGGCUCUAUACUCGGUGCAGGGGAUACUGUUGUGAAGAAAACAAAGCGCAGAGCUCAGCUAUUGUAUUAAUGCAAUGUGGGAUGGCAUUUCAUUAACAUAACCACCUAGAGGAGGGUAUCAUCUUCUCCCUUUUACUGAUGGAAAAGUUGUAGAGGAGCAGAACUUGAACUAGGGUUUAUCUCAAUAUGUUUUGAUUUGUGGGUCACUACCCAUUGUUGGAUUAAUGGGUGCUAAAUGUAUUUAGUGGGUCAUAACUAACAUUUAUUUUAAUGGAUUGGUUUGGGAUGGAAGGACCAGAGUACAUAGCAUGUAAUAGAAGUAUUAUUUGCUGAAACUUUUGUUUCAUUUACAUACAGACAUAUAGAGAGUUGCAAUAUAUUUCUUACUGUGAGUCAUGUCAGAAAACAUAUGAAAGCCACUGGUUUGUUCAAAUCCCAAUCUGUUCUUCUAUUUUCUAUACUGUCUCCUCAAAAAAAUAAAUUUCCCAAAUUAUUUCAAGAUUCUUUGGAAAUUUCCUUGAAUAUAUUUGGCCCUGAUUCUGCUUUAGAAUAUGCUGCCAGGCUCAGGCAGUGUGGCUAUGCCCCAUGCUCCCUCCCACUGGAAAGCAUCAUUUCAUAGGCUGCUGAAGAGCUCUUUCCCAUGUUGGCAAUCGCAGGCAGCUCCCCCUCGCCCAACUACUGUCUCAAUUGGUUUUACCAGCCUAAAGAGAUGCACAGUUGAGUUCCAUGGCAACCACCAAGAUAGGCUGGAGAUCACUUAAUUUUUGAUAUCGCUUAAUAAUAAUAAGAGGGCAGCAAAUGGCACAAGAAAAAGGACAGGUAAUGACACCUAAUCUCUUGAGGGCCAGAACCAUGGUGAUAUACUCACUAUGUUUCCCUCAAGCUUUUUAGCAUGGAGCCACUAAGACAGGAGACUGAAGAUACAAAAUGAUGUCUGAAGGGUUGUAUUAGUCUGUUUUGUGUUGCUAUAAAGGAACACUUGAGGUUGGGUAAUUUAUAAAGAAAAAAA